rnacentral:lncRNA from 1 species
GGUUUGAAAUAUCUCUGUUCUAGAUAGAAAAUGGUUUUGCCUCCUUGUGAAGCCUCUUCCAGGGUUCAAAGGGGCUCCAGGAGAGCUGGAGAGGGGCUGGGGACAGGGAUGGAGGGACAGGACACAGGGAAUGGCUCCACUGCCAGAGGGCAGGGAUGGGUGGGAUGUUGGGAAUUGGGAAUUCCUGGCUGGGCUGCAAUUGCCAGAGCAGCUGUGGCUGCCCCUGGAUCCCUGGGAUGUCCAAGGUUGGACACUGGGGACAGUGGGAGGGGUCCCUGGGCUGGAAUGGGGUGGGAUUUGAGGUCCCUUUCACCCAAACUGCUCCAUAAUUCUGUGUUUCCAUGGUUUCACAUUCAGUGUGCUUUGUGAAAAAAAAAGGGAAAAGGGAAGUUCUCCAAUGCCAUCCUCAUCCUCCCAGACCAGCCUGAGAGAGAACUGCGAAAACCUGGAACAUUAUCCUGUGCUCCCCCCUCCUCUGCUUUGGGAACACCCAGGUAAUUCCUGCAGCCAUCCCAUCAAACCCAGACACUUCUCCCAUCAUCCCAGGGCUUCAGCUGCUGCACAGUUCAGUGUUUGAUGUCCAGUUUAAAAAUCCAUCAGGGACAUUUCAAGGUUGGAUACCCCAGAACUGAAUCAGAGCGGUUUCAAAUUCCAGGGAACUGCCAGUUCCAACUGCCUUUGAUUGCUGAUCCAACAUUUUCACAUCCAUUUUCAGCCCAAAAUGUAAAAUAAAAUAAAAACCAAGAGUAGGAAAUUCGUAUCUCAAUUUGUUCUUCUUAUUCAUGGCCUGCAGUGAAAUCCCAUUUCCUUUUCAGUGCUUUAUUUUGAGAAUGUAAAAGAAGAUAAAUCUACUCCUACAAUCAACAUUAGGAAGAGAAAUCCUGCUUUUCUUAGCAUCUCCUGCACCCCAGAAUAAAACAGGAACAGGCAUGGGAAUACGUGGGAAUUUCCUUUCCCACAAAAACCUGGGAUUUUCAGGACACACAGAUUACUCUGCCCUGAAAAAAAGACAUCUGUGGUCUUUGUCAAUUUAAAUUCUUUAUCAAAUAUUCCAUGCGAGUGAGGGAAAGGAAAAUCCAAAUGGAAGGAGGAAACAUGGAUUUCAGCCUGCAGUUUUAGCUCAGGAUCUAAACAGCAGAGCAGGAUCUCCUGUUCCUUAUCAUCCAAUCCUCUAUCACAGGGGGAGUCAAGGGCACUUCCCAAAUCCCAACUCCCACAGAGUUCCCAUCACACCAGCCCCACCAUUCCUGUGCCUGGAAAACCCAUCUCCAAUGGGCAUCCAAGGUUCAGCUUGGAUUUUUGAGGGAAAUUCGAGGGAAAAGCAGAGAAUUAUUUUAAAGACAAUGGAAUGCUUCCUGGUCUGUGGAAGGCGUCCCUGCCCAUGGGCUUGGAAUGGGAGGAGAUUUAAGGUCCCUUCCAACCAAAACCUUCUGGGAUUCCGUGGAAAUGACUGACAGACAAGCCACUCUGGCUCCCAGCCCUUCCCAAGAGAGUCCUUUGGAGAAUGCUCUUGGAUCACCCCUCAGCUCUGUGCUCUCAGGAACAUCCGUGGGAAGAUGCAGGGCAAGGUUUGGCUCCUGAGUUCCAAAACACACCAACCUCCGAUGGAAAAUCUGCCUGACCUGCUCCUCCAUCCAUCCAUCCAUCCAGUUAAAAUCCAGAGCUUCCAAUGGGAAAUUCAGGGUUUGUGUGUUUAGAGGGUGUCAAACCCCACAGUCCAGCCAGACUCAGAGCUCCCAUUUUCUUCCGAACCCCACAGUUCAUCAGAUUCAGAGUUCCCAUUGUCAUCUAAACCCCACAGUCCAUCCAGGCUUGGAGUUCCCAAUUUAUUCUAAACCCCACAGUCCAUCCAGGCUUGGAGUUCCCAAUUUCAUCUAAACCCCACAGUCCAUCCAGGCUUGGAGUUCCCAGUUUAUUUUAAACCCCACAGUCCAUCCAGGCUUGGAGUUCCCACAGUCUUCCAAACCCCACAGUCCAUCAGACUCAGAAUUCCCACCAUCUUCCAAACCACAGAGUCCAUCCAAAUUUGGAUUUCCCACCAUCUUCCAAACCCCAUGGUCCAUCAGAGUCAGAGCCACUGUUUUCCAAACCCCAUAGUCUGUCCAGAUUUGGAGCUUCCCAUUUUCUUUCAAACCCUGUGGUCCAUCCACACUCAGAACUCCAAAUGUUUUCCAAACCUCAUAGUCCACCCAGAUUUGGAGUUCCCACCAUCUUCCAAACCCCAUGGUCCAUCCAGAUUUGAAUUUGUCACUUCCUUCCAAACUCUAUGGUCCAUCCAGAUUUGAAUUUCUCACUUUCUUCCAAACCCCAUGGUCCAUCCAGAUUUGAAUUUCUCACUUUCUUCCAAACUCCACAGAGUCCAUCCAGAUUUGGAGUUCCCACCAUCUUCCAAAUCCCACAGUCCAUCCAGAUUUGGAGUUCUCACUUUCUUCCAAACAGAGCAAGGUGUUGAUAACCCCAAGGUCAUGGCUUCGAUCCCCGCAGGGACCGUUCAGUUCCGAUUUGGACUCGAUGAUCUUUGCAGGUCCUUUCCAACCUGGAAUAUUCCGUGAUUCCAGGGAUGAGCUUUAAGGUCCCUUCCGACCUAAACCAUCCUGGGAUUCUCUGAAAAUGUCCUGACUUGGAGCUCCCACAGGAACUUAAAGACACCAAAACUGCCAAAAAACCAGGGAGCCAAGAGCAUCCUGGGAACACUCCAGCCCCGAGCAGCACCAGUAUGGACCAGUAUGGACCAGUACAACUCCAGCUGACACCAGCUGAGCAAGGACAGCCCUGCCAGGGCCUCAACAAACACACGCACCACGGGGCUGCCUUACCUGGAAAGAGGCUUUAUUGAACAGAGCUGGAAAAUUAUCUCUUCAGUGGAAUUACUGAAUUUGCACAAACAUUUCUCUACAGAAUAAAAAAAAUCAAGCCUUGUCAUUGUUUUACUGCAUCUCGUUGUGCUUUUUAUACUUAUUUUGCAAUUAUUAUACUCAUCUUUUGUUUGUUUUCACGUUUGUACUCCAAUUAUUUGCAUAUCAGGUUUUGUUUUUAAUCCUAGGGUGUCGAGAGAACACAGAAUAAUAAUAAUAAUUAUAAUAAUUAUAAUAAUAAUACUCUUCUUUAGACAAAAGUCUUUUUUUUUUUUUUUAAAUGAAGUUAAAAGCUGAGCUAAUUUAAGGAAAAAGGUCUUCAAAUUUCAUAACCAACUGGAAGGGAACUUUACAAUGCAGUGGAAAACCAGCACGUGUUGGGGUAGCUCGAACCCAUUUUGUACAGCUUUUAUUUUUUUUUUUCCUUGUAAAAGUGGAUUAUUUUUAAUUUUUUUUUUAUUUUUUGUUUGUUUGUUUUUUUUGAAUUUCGCUACAAUAACAAAAUAAUCUUUCACCCCUCUGCACCGAGUCUGGCUCCGGGGCGGAGGCAGAGCCCCCGCGGGGCGCCCGGAGCUGCGGAUGUCGGGAGCCAUCCCGACAGGGGGGGCAGAGUAAGAAAAUCACCCCGUGUUCCACCACCUGCUGCACCAAGAGUGUGUCUGAACCACCUUUGUUCCUCUGCUUGACCCACUGGAGAACCUGAAACGACGACAACGACGACGACGAGAAGUGCCGCUCCCCGCGGGAGCUGUGUCGAAUGGGGAAGAAGCUGAAAGGCCAUGGCUGUCUGGAAGGUCACACAACACGGAUCUCAUCCCAAAGGCUUUCCACAGCACCUCAGGUCCGCCCAUCCUUCUCCAGAAGCGGCUCCGUCUCCUUGCCUGCACACCCAGGCUCCAGAGUUUGUUUAGAAAAGAGUUUGCACAACCCAUGUUUUCAGCGGUGCAAAGCUUCCGUGUUGAAAUCGUCACUACAUUUGUUUAUUUUUAUAUAUAUAUUUAUAUAUAUAUAUAUAUUCUGUUCUUUUUUUGUUUUUAUUUUUGUUUUUUUUUUUUUUUUUAAAUCAGGCUUGUUUCAUUGAAGGCACUUGGUUUCCAUGGCAAUUUAUAAAAGACGGUGGUUUGGUUUCUUCUCUUCCGCAGAGCUGAUGACUCUGGUGGGGAGGGGAGAGGGAUCUUCCAGCGGCCGCGAGCAAACUCCCGGUGAAGCCUGUGACAAACGUGACACAUCCUGGAUGGGAAUGCAUGCAAGAGGAGACAGCACACAGUCACCAAGCAGAGCCGUGAGGAAUGGAACGGGACAUGGCUGCAAACAGCUCCCAUCCCGGGAUAUCCUCCAGGGGAGGCGCCGACCUUUGCUCAACUCCGCCCUCAAAACCUCCGCGGAGGGAAAACGAGCGCCAGCUCUUCGCUGUGUACAGUGAGGUGUUUCUCUGUCUCUGUGUUUGGAUUUCCUCUCUCUCCUUCCUCUCUGUUUUUGGCAGGCCAUUCGGUUUCCAUGGUAACAAGCAAACAAUUCAUUUGAAACAAAACCAGCCAUGACUUUGUGCUUUGACAAGGGUUUCUAGAGCUCUUUGCCGAGAGUUCAACCAGAUGAUGCUGAAUUCAUCAGUGACCACAAAAGCACCUGAAGGUCUCUUCCUUACUUAGGCCAGAUCUCGGUCUCAAGCUUGGUUCUUAGUGAGUUCCACUCCCGUGAUGCCUUUUCAAGUCCCCAGUGCUUUCUUAAUCCGUUCUUAUUUUAUUUUUAAUUAUUUAUUAUUUAUUUACGUAUUUAUUUAACUUUCGAGUCAGUCAGUCAGUGGAGGAAUCUUUGGUAGCUUGUUUGGAAAUGUCCAUUUUACAAAGACUCUUUCUUCAUGCCAGUGCCUGGUGAUUCUUUUG